UACGAAGGGUGCAAACGUUGUUCGGAAUUACUGGGCAUAAAGCGCACGUAGGUGGUCCGCUAAGUCGCGUGUGAAAUCCCCCGGCUCAACCGGGGAAAUGCGCGUGAUACUGGCGGGCUUGAGAUCGGGAGGGGGGAAUGGAACUCCAGGUGGAGCGGUGAAAUGCGUAGAUAUCUGGAGGAACACCGGUGGCGAAAGCGGUUCACUGGCCCGACACUGACACUGAGGUGCGAAAGCUAGGGUAGCAAACGGG
rnacentral:rRNA from 1 species